AGUCCUCAAGAAGGUUCAAGAAGUACUCUCUUUGCUGCCACUGAUCCUCAAGUUCCGGAGUACUGUGAACUACUUAAAGCAGAUAACUGGCCUGUUUGUGCGUUUCUUUCCCAAGAUUGUCGUCCAACAAAUCCUUCAGAAGAGUCGCACAACGUUGAGACUUCUUACAAACUCUGGGAGAAAACAUUGGAGAUGGUUGGUUUGCCUUUGGACGUCGUAGAGAGGCUAUUAGAAGGGGAACAA
rnacentral:misc_RNA from 1 species